rnacentral:rRNA from 1 species
GACAGAGGAGCCAAGCGUUGUCCGGAUUGACUGGGCGUAAAGCGCACGCAGGCGGUCGUGCACGUGGGGUGUGAAAACUGGCGGCUUAACUGCCAGAGGCCACCUCAUACGGCGCGACUCGAGCCAUGCAGAGGUCCACGGAAUUGCCGGUGUAGUGGUGAAAUGCGUAGAUAUUCGCAAGAACACCAGUGGCGAAGGCGGCUCACUGGCCCGGUACUGACGCUGAGGUGCGAAAGCGUGGGGAGCAAACAGG